CUGCCGCUACAGCAGCACAUAUUCUAGAACUGGUACAAUACAGAGAAGAUUACUAUGGUCCCUGCACAAGAAUAACACACAAAUUCAUGAAUUGCUGUGCAGCAGAUGUUU
ensembl:snRNA U6 U6 spliceosomal RNA